CAUAUUUCCAACAAUUUAUAAAUGCGGAACAUUUUGGACAGGUCAACCUAUUGAAACUUAUCUAACGCCUAACUUAUCUGCUAAUUAAAAUACUGAAAACUUUUGAUAGUCCUUGAAUAAAGCUCAAUAGCGAGCCCUCCGACGCUAGAUAUUUAUGAGGAGGGUCUCACAAAGAUCUGCUCCCGGGAGCCUCUUCUUGUGCUAAGUUAAAAAUACGGGUUGGCCGUAUCAGGGAAAUUUCUUGUAACUUUGUAACCGUCUAAAGGCCAAGCUUUAGAAAAAUCUAGAAAGUUCAUGAAACAAUGGUCCAACACCAUCUAGAACUGGAGAGGAGCGUCCCAUUCCCACCCCUUUCUGCGAGUUCCGCAAAGAAAGAGCAGGCAGCUCGGAGCGUCCGAUUGUGGCGCGCUUUCCUGCGAGGCUGAAAGCCGAGCUUUCGCAGGAGAGUAGACCUUAAAUUGUUUCAAUGCCCAAAUGCAAGCGAUGCCGAAAGCCGGGCUCCACAAAAGGUGUUCAAAAUUUCUUUUAUCUAUUGGCAGCGGGCACAAUCGUGCGAGGUCAAAGACUGAGCUUCAGUGGAGCUGACCUCAAACAAGAACCAAUAGCCGAAUGUAUUAAAAAGCAAGGCCGAAGGCCCGGGGGAGCUUCAGAUAGGGGCACAUUUCCGUAAAAGGCCAAAUAUCAAUCUGCAAGAGUGCAGAACUUUGCUAAGAAGGCCAAAGGCCGAGGUCCGCAUAAACGCUGAAGGCCCAGUCCUUCUGAUCACGUUGCGCUUCCAUAUAAGACCUAACUUAACUAAGAGAGCUUGAAAUUUAACCAAUGUGAUCUCGGACCCUCCUGCGGCUUGACCUUUGCAUUUUUCCUCGAAAGUGCGACUUGUUGAGUCUACAACCCUAUGGAGUUUGUUAUUUAUAAUAAUUAUUUUGAUUAUUGGGGCUUUUGGUGUUUCGUAGAGUACGCUCUUCGACCUCCAACGGCUUCAGAGCUCAAGAUCGUGUUUGCGGUCCGCUAGUUUGCUUUUUAAUACACAACUAUUUGUUCGUCUCCAAGCUCUGCUGUCCUGCAGCUUUACUUCGGCCCGCCGUUCCCUUUGAAACAGCUUAUCAUGGUCGUGUCCGAAAUGUAAUAUUCUGGCCCACUUCAUUAUUUAAAAAAAAUAGCAUCUGCCCUUUACAAAGACGGCUAAGUCACAUUACCUACAUCGAUACUGGAUAGUUUAAAAUUAUACCUCAGUUAUUUCCCGAAUAAUAUAUUUUAUCAUAAAUAACGAUUGUUUUUUAUAACAAUUUCUAGAUAAUUUAAGCUUUUUUAAUUUCAUUUAUGUAAGCAGUUUUUUUACAUUACAAAUCUCAUUUAAUAUGUUUCUAGUUCUGACAAAUAAUGAGACCGAAGAGGAAUACUGAAACAUCGUAAAAAGUAUUGUUAAAAAGUAGGUUAUUAUAUUAAACAGGUCAACAGGGUAGAUAUACUUUUUAAAAGCCAAGAUAUUUAUGGUUCCAUCGUUUAAAAUAUUAUCACUUUGAUUUUGACCAAUAAAGUUAAUUUAUAUUUAA